UAAUAAGUGUUUUAUGGCACUUUCUAAAUCCAUAUCCACCUUGUGUGCAAUGUCAGUCGAUCUUCUUCAUGGAGAUCGACCAAACAUCAACCUUUAUCUUUUAACUCUUUGUCUGAAAAAUAUUAUGAAUAAACAAUUCAAAAUA
rnacentral:misc_RNA from 1 species